GGGGUUGUGGCUCAGCGGUAGAGCGCUCGCCUAGCAUGUGUGAGGUCCUGGGUUCAAUCCUCAGCACCA
rnacentral:tRNA from 1 species